GUGCUCACUUCAGCAGCACAUAUACUAAAAUUGGGAUGUACAGAGAAGAUUAGCAUGCUCUCUACACAAGAAUGACACACAAACUCGUGAAGCAUUAAAAAAAAUG
rnacentral:snRNA from 1 species